rnacentral:rRNA from 1 species
UGGGGAAUUUUGGACAAUGGGCGAAAGCCUGAUCCAGCAAUGCCGCGUGUGUGAAGAAGGCCUUCGGGUUGUAAAGCACUUUUGUCCGGAAAGAAAUCCUUGGCUCUAAGUACAGUCGGGGGAUCGACGGUACCGGAAGAAUAAGCACCGGCUAACUACGUGCCAGCAGCCGCGGUAAUACGUAGGGUGCAAGGCNUUAAUCGGAAUUACUGGGCGUAAAGCGUGCGCAGGCGGUUUGCUAAGACCGAUGUGAAAUCCCCGGGCUCAACCUGGGAAACUGCAUUGGUGACUGGCAGGCUAGAGUAUGGCAGAGGGGGGUAGAAUUCCACGUGUAGGCAGUGAAAAUGCGUAGAGAUGUGGAGGAAUACCGAUGGCGAAGGCAGCCCCCUGGGCAAUACUGACGCUCAUGCACGAAAGCGUGGGGAGCAAACAGGAUUAGAUACCCUGGUAGUCCACG